rnacentral:lncRNA from 1 species
GGAGGGAGGGUUAUGCCUUUCUCCUCUCUAUGAUUAGAAAUUUCCAAAAAUUACAAAAUAUAGCUAAGUGUAGUGUCUUAUGUCUGUAAUCUUAGCACGCAAGAGGCUGAGGCAGGAGAAUUGUCUUGAGUUCAAGGCCUACAGUGAAAAACUGACUCAAACGAGUUUAUUCAGUGAUGUUUAUACCUGCCCACAUAAUAUACAGCGUUCUUGGGAGGAGCCAGAAAACACUGACCUACUUGGCAGCCCAACGGAAACUGCAUCCCAUCCCCGCUCGGCAUGCAGUUUAGCUGUUCGUAGAUUCCGAAGCCCAAACAUCCUCGGUUAAGAACCUGUGGUGGAAGCCAGGAAGCUCACACAUCCGAUAACAUCACUCUGGAUGCUGAGGGAGGAUUACCAAGUGUUCAAGUCUAUGGCUAUACUGUUACGGUCCAAGUUAGCCUAGAUUACACCUACCCAUCCCCACCCUGCUAAAAAUAAUAAAAAAAUGUUAAGUAGCCAGACGUGAUGGUACAUGCCCUUAAUCCUUGCAUUCAGCAGGCAGAGGCAAGCAGACCUUGGUGAGAUUAAGCCCAGGUUGUUCUACCAGGCCAACCUGGGCUACACAGUGAGACCCUGGUUUUUUGUUGUUGUUGUUGUUUUCUAUCGGUUUUUUUUU